rnacentral:rRNA from 1 species
GAUGAACGCUCGCGAUAGGCCUAACACAUGCAAGUCGAGGGGCAGCACAAGGUAGCUUGCUAUCUGGGUGGCGACCGGCGCACGGGUGCGUAACGCGUAUGCAACUUGCCCUAUACAGGAGGAUAACCCGUCGAAAGACGGACUAAUACUGCGUAUGCUCACAACUUGGCAUCAAGUGGUGAGGAAAGAAAUUCGGUAUAGGAUAGGCAUGCGUCCCAUUAGCUUGUUGGUGAGGUAACGGCUCACCAAGGCAACGAUGGGUAGGGGAUCUGAGAGGUUUAUCCCCCACACUGGUACUGAGACACGGACCAGACUCCUACGGGAGGCAGCAGUGAGGAAUAUUGGUCAAUGGGCGCGAGCCUGAACCAGCCAAGUCGCGUGAAGGAUGACUGUCUUAUGGAUUGUAAACUUCUUUUAUACGGGAAUAACAAGAGUCACGUGUGACUCCCUGCAUGUACCGUAUGAAUAAGCAUCGGCUAACUCCGUG